UACGGGGGGGGCAAGCGUUGUUCGGAAUUACUGGGCGUAAAGGGCUCGUAGGCGGCCAACUAAGUCGGACGUGAAAUCCCUCGGCUUAACCGGGGAACUGCGUCCGAUACUGGAUGGCUUGAGUUUGGGAGAGGGAUGCGGAAUUCCAGGUGUAGCGGUGAAAUGCGUAGAUAUCUGGAGGAACACCGGUGGCGAAGGCGGCAUCCUGGACCAACACUGACGCUGAGGAGCGAAAGCGUGGGGAGCGAACAGG
rnacentral:rRNA from 1 species